AUCCAGUUGACAAGUCUCAAAUAGGGCGAAACGCGCUUCCUGGAU
rnacentral:hammerhead_ribozyme from 1 species